rnacentral:rRNA from 1 species
UACGUAGGUGGCGAGCGUUAUCCGGAAUUAUUGGGAGUAAAGAGCGCGCAGGUGGUUGAUUAAGUCUGAUGUGAAAGCCCACGGCUUAAACGUGGAGGGUCAUUGGAAACUGGUCGACUUGAGUGCAGAAGAGGGAAGUGGAAUUCCAUGUGUAGCGGUGAAAUGCGUAGAGAUAUGGAGGAACACCAGUGGCGAAGGCGGCUUCCUGGUCUGUAACUGACACUGAGGCGCGAAAGCGUGGGGAGCAAACAGGAUUAGAUA